rnacentral:rRNA from 1 species
UAUGGAAGGCAGCAGUGGGGAAUAUUGCACAAUGGGCGAAAGCCUGAUGCAGCUAUGCCGCGUGUAUGAAGAAGGCCUUAGGGUUGUAAAGUACUUUCAUCGGGGAGGAAAAAACAAAACUAAUAAUUUUAUUUCUUGACGUUACCCGAAAAAGAAGCACCGGCUAACUCCGUGCCAGCAGCCGCGGUAAUACGGAGGGUGCUAGCGUUAAUCAGAAUUACUGGGCGUAAAGAGCACGUAGGUGGUUUUUUUAAGUCAGAUGUGAAAUCCCUGGGCUUAACCUAGGAACUGCAUUUUGAAACUGAAAUACUAGAGUAUCGUAGAGGGAGGUAGAAUUCUAGGUGUAGCGGUGAAAUGCGUAGAUAUCUGGAGGAAUACCUGUGGCGAAAGCGGGCCUCCUAAACGAAUACUGACACUGAGGGUGCGAAAGCGUGGGGAGCAAACAGGGAUUAGAUACC